ACAAACUUGGUCAUUUAGAGGAAGUAAAAGUCGUAACAAGGUUUCCGUAGGUGAACCUGCGGAAGGAUCAUUAAAAUUUUGGGUUUCAACGGACCCUCAAAUCUGAACUUGUGGUAAUAAAGGAAUGACCGUUUCUUUGGGUUUAAAGAUGAUGGCCUUAUUGAUGGGAUUUUUCUUGGCAUUUGAAGAGAAAGUAAUUUUCUCUCAAGUCGGGUUUGGAUGACAAGCCAUUAAAUUGGAUUCUUGUCAUAUAUCCAAAGCUGUUGUUCUAGGUUGAAGGCAUUAUGGAUAUGAGUCAAUCUAGGAUGCUCAGAGAGGUACCUGUAGACUGUCGACCCAAAGAUUCGAACAAAAAAACUAUAAAUUUUUGACUGAAAUUUUAUAAGUUGAAUCCAAUUUUUUUGGGUUUAAAAAAAGUUUUAAAUAACUUUCAACAACGGAUCUCUUGGUUCUCGCAUCGAUGAAGAACGCAGC
rnacentral:misc_RNA from 1 species